AUUGAACGCUGGCGGCAGGCCUAACACAUGCGAGUCGAGCGGAUGAAGGGAGCUUGCUCCUGGAUUCAGCGGCGGACGGGUGAGUAAUGCCUAGGAAUCUGCCUGGUAGUGGGGGAUAACGUCCGGAAACGGGCGCUAAUACCGCAUACGUCCUGAGGGAGAAAGUGGGGGAUCUUCGGACCUCACGCUAUUAGAUGAGCCUAGGUCGGAUUAGCUAGUUGGUGGGGUAAAGGCCUACCAAGGCGACGAUCCGUAACUGGUCUGAGAGGAUGAUCAGUCACACUGGAACUGAGACACGGUCCAGACUCCUACGGGAGGCAGCAGUGGGGAAUAUUGGACAAUGGGCGAAAGCCUGAUCCAGCCAUGCCGCGUGUGUGAAGAAGGUCUUCGGAUUGUAAAGCACUUUAAGUUGGGAGGAAGGGCAGUAAGUUAAUACCUUGCUGUUUUGACGUUACCAACAGAAUAAGCACCGGCUAACUUCGUG
rnacentral:rRNA from 1 species